rnacentral:rRNA from 1 species
UGAAAUACCACCCUUUAAUGUUUGAUGUUCUAACGUGGGCCCCUAAUCGGGGUUGCGGACAGUGUCUGGUGGGUAGUUUGACUGGGGCGGUCUCCUCCUAAAGAGUAACGGAGGAGCACGAAGGUUGGCUAAUCCUGGUCGGACAUCAGGAGGUUAGUGCAAUGGCAUAAGCCAGCUUGACUGCGAGCGUGACGGCGCGAGCAGGUGCGAAAGCAGGUCAUAGUGAUCCGGUGGUUCUGAAUGGAAGGGCCAUCGCUCAACGGAUAAAAGGUACUCCGGGGAUAACAGGCUGAUACCGCCCAAGAGUUCAUAUCGACGGCGGUGUUUGGCACCUCGAUGUCGGCUCAUCACAUCCUGGGGCUGAAGUAGGUCCCAAGGGUAUGGCUGUUCGCCAUUUAAAGUGGUACGCGAGCUGGGUUUAGAACGUCGUGAGACAGUUCGGUCCCUAUCUGCCGUGGGCGCUGGAGAACUGAGGGGGGCUGCUCCUAGUACGAGAGGACCGGAGUGGACGCAUCACUGGUGUUCGGGUUGUCAUGCCAAUGGCACUGCCCGGUAGCUAAAUGCGGAAGAGAUAAGUGCUGAAAGCAUCUAAGCACGAAACUUGCCCCGAGAUGAGUUCUCCCUGAGACUUAGAGUCUCCUGAAGGAACGUUGAAGACGACGACGUUGAUAGGCCGGGUGUGUAAGCGCAGCGAUGCGUUGAGCUAACCGGUACUAAUGAACCGUGAGGCUUAACCUUACAACGCCGAAG